ACACACACACACACACACUCAGGCAAAAAGAAAAUCCACCGAAAGUGCUCCUCCCACCAAACAAGAACAGGAUUGUCAGUUUUGCAGCUCGGCCAGUAUUUUCCUACACAAAUUUCACACAUCUGGAGACCCUCUGGGGAUGUUGUGUCUACUCAUCUGUGCCCCAGCCCCAAAUGCUGAGGAGGGAAAGACCCUUUGUGCUGAGUAAGUGCCCCUUCCUGCCUCUGAAUUCCCAUCGCAUGUUUCCAGGGCCUGAAAACUCACAAAGGAGCAAAUUGGAGCCCCAGGGCCUCUGCUGAAGAGGGAGAGGGAAGGGGUUUCCAAGGAAACAGCCGGCCUCUGGGACCUUCCAGAAGGGGGACCCUUGGCCUCUGCACAUGCCCCACCCUGCCCCAUCAGCUCACACUCCCUCGCCCCAACUCUGAGCUGGAUUUCUUUUUCCAAACCAAGAAGGAGUAGUGAUAGAGCCAUCUUUUCCAGGCUGUUUUGGAAGGACUGUUGCCAGAACCCCUCACAUCUUGCCCACCUUUGGUUUUAUUCCAUUGCGUUAUCAGGCAAUCAGCCACCUGCUCCCACGUGCUGAUGUGUGUUUUGGACACCACAGGUCUGCCUCCUGCUGUGUGUUCCCGCCCCAGCUCCCAAGGCCCUGACACACUGCCCUCUGCCCCUGUGGCAAGGCCUACGUUCACACUUGGACGAGGCACCUGGCCCUGCCUGAUCCUUGACCACUGCAGUGGUUCUGCUGCAUGCGUGGGGGUGGGAAGGUGGAUUCUGUCAGGUGUUCCCUCCACUCCCACCACUAAGGCUGUCUGAAUUGACUAGGUUUUGCAAUCCCAAUAGGAUGGCCUCUAACCUAACAUUGGAGACAGACCUAUGAGGUCAGGGUGGGAGGCUGGGUUCCUUGGGUGAGUGUGGACACACCUCACGGAGGCCCUGCCCAUUAGGUAAGCUCACUGGCAUUUUGGGGACCUCUGCCUAGCUUUGUACCAGGCCCCACUGUUAAACACCUAAUACAAGCCAUCACCAUGAAGACAGGCCCCAUGACCAGCGUGUUCCAGGAUGCAUGGAGAGGGAGUGUUUGUGGGCACAUCCAUCCUGCUGGGCGAAGGUGUGUGAUGCGUAUUUAUGGAACUGGUUAGUUCCCUUUCAAUGGAACUAGAUAUGUUAUGUAUAAUCUAAACUAUAUCUGUUUGCCAUCAUAAGGAGAGUAUUGUACUUAAGGUUCUUUGGGGAGAGGAGAUGUAGAUUUUGUCAGACUCUCCUGGACUUUUUUUGGUAAUGAAAUGCUUUAUUACCAUCCAGUGGUGUAAGAAGCUAAACUCUGUAUUUCCUCAUCGUCAUUGUGAUGCCUGAAAAUUAGGCCAGAAAAUGUCAACUGACGUUCAUCUCCGUCACUAUAAUCCAGAGUUUUGUGCCCAUUGCUUGCUGAAGUAGCGCUCUCUUUCAAGGGGACAUGGACUGACCAAGGGUCUCAGGCGCAGUUACCAAGGAGCCAUCCUGGAUCGUUCUCCAGAUGUGGAGCUUGAGAUGGACGACCUUGGCCGUGAAGUCCAGGCGAUUUUCUCAGGGUGUGAGAGUGUCCGCAGGCUCAGGAAGCAGGGCUAGGAAGAUGCACUUAGACUUUGCUAAUUUAGUAACAAGUUGUGCCUUUCAGCAUCACUGGGUGCAAGGAGCACCAAGGGUGAUGAUCCCCAUGAGGGCUGGCUUAUCACCAAACCUGAAGAGCUGUGGUUUCUCCAGUGAACGUUUUCUUCUAUUGAACAUGGAGCCAUUAUUAAAUGAGUUUUGUUUUUUAUUAUGUAAAUUGUAAAGUAUUUUUUGUUUGAUGCUCUAUUUUUCUAAUAGUUUUCUUACAAUUAUGAUACUAGAGUUAGAUUUUAACGCUAACUGCAAAUCAGGUUGGUCUCUGCUGGUCCCUCCUGUUUUCACUUUAUUUUAAGAACAAGCAUAGAUGUUGCCCAUCACUUUUUUAAAAUGUGAAACUGCAUCCCAUUUUCGCUGACAACACUGUGCAUCGACAACUUCUUACUGUACUUGAUGUUGUAAAAUCAAACUGUUUUGUGGUACAUUAUCUCAUGCUUCUGCAAAUUCUAAUAAAUUCUGUAGCUUCAGUGUG